rnacentral:rRNA from 1 species
CCUACGGGCGGCAGCAGUGAGGAAUAUUGGUCAAUGGGCGGGAGCCUGAACCAGCCAAGCCGCGUGGAGGAAGAAUGCCCCAUGCGUUGUAAACUUCUUUUGUCUGGGAAUAAAGGGUGCCACGCGUGGCGUUUUGUGUGUACCCGAUGAAUAAGCAUCGGCUAACUCCGUGCCAGCAGCCGCGGUAAUACGGAGGAUGCGAGCGUUAUCCGGAUUUAUUGGGUUUAAAGGGUGCGUAGGGGGUUCGGAAAGUCAGCGGGAAAAGCUCGGGGCUCAACCCCGAAGAGCCGUUGAAACUGUCAGACUAGAGAAGGGGAGAGGUACGCGGAAUGCGCGGUGUAGCGGUGAAAUGCAUAGAUAUCGCGAAGAACUCCGAUUGCGAAGGCAGCGUACCGGCGCCGAACUGACACUGAGGCACGAAAGCGUGGGUAUCGAACAGGAUUAGAUACCCCUGUAGUC